rnacentral:rRNA from 1 species
AUAGUUGGGUAAACCAGGUAUUUAUAACUUGAAUACAUAGGGUUAUAAAAGCAAACCCGGGGAACUGAAACAUCUAAGUACCCGGAGGAAAGGACAUCAAUUAGAUACUCCCCUAGUAGCGGCGAGCGAACGGGGAUCAGCCGAACCAUAAAUGUGACUAGAAUAUGUUGGAAAGCAUAACCAGAGUGGGUGACAGUCCCGUAUAGGAAGCAUGAUUGGACAUAUUAAGUAGGGCGGGACACGUGAAAUCCUGUUCGAAGAUCGGAGGACCACCUCCGAAGGCUAAGUACUCCUUACUGACCGAUAGUGAACCAGUACCGUGAGGGAAAGGUGAAAAGCACCCCGACGAGGGGAGUGAAACAGUUUCUGAAACCGGACGCCUACAAUCAGUCGGAGGCCCCUUGAGGGCUGACGGCGUACCCUUUGUAUAAUGGGUCAUCGACUUAGUGUAUCUAGCAAGCUUAAGCCGUUAGGUGUAGGCGCAGCGAAAGCGAGUCUUAAUAGGGCGAUUGAGUUAGGUGUAUUAGACCCGAAACCGAGUGAUCUAGGCAUGGCCAGGUUGAAGGUAUGGUAACACGUACUGGAGGACCGAACCCACAUCCGUUGAAAAGGAUCGGGAUGAGCUGUGCCUAGGGGUGAAAGGCCAAUCAAACUCGGAGAUAGCUGGU